UAGGGAAUUUUCGUCAAUGGGGGAAGCCCUGAACGAGCAAUGCCGCGUGUGUGAAGAAGGUCUUCGGAUCGUAAAGCACUGUUGUAAGUGAAGAAUGCCACAUAGAGGAAAUGCUAUGUGGGUGACGGUAGCUUACCAGAAAGCCACGGCUAACUACGUGCCAGCAGCCGCGGUAAUACGUAGGUGGCAAGCGUUAUCCGGAAUCAUUGGGCGUAAAGGGUGCGUAGGUGGCACGAUAAGUCUGAAGUAAAAGGCAAACAGCUCAACUGUUGUAUGCUUUGGAAACUGUCGAGCUAGAGUGCAGAAGAGGGCGAUGGAAUUCCAUGUGUAGCGGUAAAAUGCGUAGAUAUAUGGAGGAACACCAGUGGCGAAGGCGGUCGCCUGGUCUGUAACUGACACUGAUGCACGAAAGCGUGGGGAGCAAAUAGGAUUAGAUACC
rnacentral:rRNA from 1 species